GUCGAGAAAAGAUUAGGCCAGAAAAGGAGCUACAAAGAGCAAGGAAGAUUCUGCCUCUAGAUGGAUCUAUCUACCAUGAACAUGUGAGAAAGUAUCAACACUUUGAAUACUUCAUUGCAUUUAAAUGUUUUCUGUACAUGUCUCUCUCUCUCUCUCUCUCUCUCUCUCUCUUUUAGUGCUUAAUGAUGGGCUCUGACAAAAUCUUGUUUCUCAUGUGGUUGCAAAU
rnacentral:lncRNA from 1 species